rnacentral:rRNA from 1 species
UACCAGCACCCCGAGUGGUCGGGACGUUUAUUGGGCCUAAAGCAUCCGUAGCCGGUUCUACAAGUCUUCCGUUAAAUCCACCUGCUUAACAGAUGGGCUGCGGAAGAUACUAUAGAGCUAGGAGGCGGGAGAGGCAAGCGGUACUCAUGGGUAGGGGUAAAAAUCCGUUGAUCCAUUGAAGACCACCAGUGGCGAAGGCGGCUUGCCAGAACGCGCUCGACGGUGAGGGAUGAAAGCUGGGGGAGCAAACCGG